rnacentral:rRNA from 1 species
AGGACGAACGCUGGCGGCGUGCUUAACACAUGCAAGUCGAGCGGAAAGGCCCUUCGGGGUACUCGAGCGGCGAACGGGUGAGUAACACGUGAGUAAUCUGCCCCUAGCUCUGGGAUAGCUCCGGGAAACCGGGAUUAAUACCGGAUAUGACCACUUUAGACAUCUGUUGUGGUGGAAAGAAUUUCGGCUAGGAUGAGCUCGCGGCCUAUCAGCUUGUUGGUGGGGUAACGGCCUACCGAAGGCGACG